AAUCGCAGCUGCUGACGUAAGUUAGAGGAAAGUCCAUGCUCGCACGGUCUGUGAUGACCGUAGUGUUUGUGCUGGAUGAAACGAUAAAUCCAGGCAGUGUUAUCACUGACGGCAACUUUAAUCCUAAGGGAAACUAUGGAAGCGAGUUAUAAAGUGCCACAGAGACGAGCCAUCUGAGAAAUCGGAUGGGUGGAACGGGUAAACCCCGCAAGCGAGAAACCCAAAUUUGGUAGGGGAGCUGGUCGGAAUGAAACGAAAGGAAGACCGGAUAGGGAAACCUAUAGAUAAAUAGCUGCAUAUACAGAACAUGGCUUAU
rnacentral:RNase_P_RNA from 1 species